AUGAAAACUAACCUAGCCCUGACCCUGCAGCCCUGGGAGAGGAGCCCCAGCCCCGGGAUUCCCAGGUGUUUCCAUUCGGUGAUCAGCACUGAACACAAAACUCACCAUGGAGUUUGGACUGAGCUGGGUUUUCCUUGUUGCUAUUUUAAAAGGUGUCCAGUGUGAAGUGCAGCUGGUGGAGUCUGGGGGAGGCGUGGUACAGCCUGGGGGGUCCCUGAGACUCUCGUGUGCAGCCUCUGGAUUCACCUUUGAUGAUUACGCCAUGCACUGGGUCCGCCAAGCUCCAGGGAAGGGUCUGGAGUGGGUCUCUGGUAUUAGUUGGAGUGGUGGUAGCACAUACUAUGCAGACUCCGUCAAGGGCCGAUUCACCAUCUCCAGAGACAACGCCAAGAACUCCCUGUAUCUGCAAAUGGGCAGCCUGAGAGCUGAGGACACCGCCUUGUAUUACUGUGCAAAAGAUACACGGUGAGGGGAAGU